rnacentral:rRNA from 1 species
GCUACGGGGUGCAGCAGUGAGGAAUAUUGGUCAAUGGGCGCGAGCCUGAACCAGCCAAGUCGCGUGAGGGAUGAAGGUUCUAUGGAUCGUAAACCUCUUUUAUAAGGGAAUAAAGUGUGGGACGUGUCCUAUUUUGUAUGUACCUUAUGAAUAAGGAUCGGCUAACUCCGUGCCAGCAGCCGCGGUAAUACGGAGGAUCCGAGCGUUAUCCGGAUUUAGUGGGUUUAAACGGUGCGUAGCCGGCCUUUUAAGGCAGCGUUGAAAGUCUGUGGCUUAACCCUAGAAUUGCCGUUGAAACUGGGGUGCUUGCGUAUGUUUGAGGCAGGCGGAAUGCGUGGUGUAGCGGUGAAAUGCU